ensembl:lincRNA
AACUUCAAAAAUCAGAUUGCAUGGAAUAUGCUGGAAGACAUUACUAUUUAGGGGACAAGUGUCAGGUUUGCUUGGAACCAAAUGGAAAAUAUUAUAAUGCUCACAUUCAAGAAAUUGAAAAUGAUAAAAACUCAGUAGUAGUUUUCAUUGAGGAAUUGGCAGAAAGGCAUGCAGUUUAUAUGGCUAAUGUAAAACCAGUCAACCAAGUGGCACUUCUUCCUACCUGGAAUAUUUUGCCAACUCGUAAAGGAAGAGGUUACCCGGCNNNNNNNNNNNGAACUGAGUUUGUAUCCUAAAUGUUUUCUUUUCUGUUGUUGUUUAGUUCAUUGUACUUUUUAAAGAUUUGCCGUAUGUCCUGAUGUAGAAUAGCUUUUAUUCCACACUACUGUGUUGGGAUAGCUAAUGCUUUAGUGGAGAGGAGAGGGCUAUCAUGGAUAUUCUAGGGUGAUACUUGGAGCCUGUUGCCAUAGGUACUAAUAGCCUCCUUUUCCUAGUCAUAACAAUGAAAUUAUCUUUGGACAUUAGCAGAUAAUGUUCUGUAGGAGGAGGAGACAAAAUUGUCUGAGAACCCACUUUCUAGAUGACCUCAUAUAAACUUAAGCUUAAAGGGAUUUUAAAUAUUUUCAAAGAACUAGGAAGACAUCUUAUAAGUGCAACCAGAUAUAUUCAACAUAAUUUUUUAGAGAAAAAUAAUGUAGGUGACGCAAUAUUUUUGAUGACCAAAUCUAUCAGUCUUAAAGAGAGGGCUGAAAUACUGAGUAUUUAAGUACCCAUGAACAUAGAAAUGAACUGUUUGUUUCUUUGGCCCUUCCAAUUGGUAGAUGAAAUACAUACUUGAAAAACUGCACAAAUUUCUACCUUACACUUACCUACUUUUACUUGAUUUGUUUCUAAGAAAAGUAUCUAUCUGACAGUUUUCAAGUAUGAUGAGGUUAGAGGAACAUUACCUUUUACUUUGGUUAUAAUGCUUAUUUACUACGUAUUUGACGUACUACCCAGGAUUCAGCAUAGUAUGCAUUUUGGGCAUGACCCACUAUUGUACUACUCACAGACAGCUGGUCAUGUUAUGUCUAGUGACCAUUUCUACCCUCAACAUUCUUCUCAAAGACAAGGUCGCGGAUAUGGGAUGCCCAGGGAUUCAUCUCACUUAAUAAAUAGGCAAAACAUGCCAAGUUCUAAAGUUGGGUUUUACCCUGGUCCAGGUAGACGGUGCUGCCAGAGCUAUGAUAAUGUCUCAUAUAGGUCUCGUUCUUUCAGGCGUAGCCACCGUCAGAUGCAUUGUAUGAAUAAGGAAUGCCAGUAUGGUUUUGCUCCAGAAGAAACUGUUACAUUUUAUGCACUUGAAGAAGGGAAUGAGACUGCUUAUUCAACAUUACCUAGCAAUGGUGGUUCCCAUGCAAUGGUUCCUGUUACUUCAGGAUACUGUAUGGCAAGUCAGGGCUAUAACUCGUGCAAAACAAGUUUGAAUUCAGAAGACAGCAAUGCCCACUGUGACAGUGGACAAUAUCAUGGAGAUUAUCUUUAUUCUUCAGAACAAGGCUAUGAAACUUCCAGUGUAUAUACCACAACUGUAUCUACAGCAAACCUGUCUCUUCAGGACAAUGGACCAUGUUCUGUGCCUCAAGACACAGUUACCUCAUACAACUACCCCCAGAAGGUGUUAGAAAACUCUACAGAAAUUAGAGUUUCCUGGGCCAGCCAUGUUCCAGUUCCAGUCUUACCUAACUGUACAGGAAGUAAUCAAACUAUUAGUACCUCUGAUGUUUCCGAACAGAAUGCCAUACAGCCUGUCUUUGAACCUCCACCUGCACAAGACAGUCAAGCCUAUCUUCAGCCUCCAGCAGCAGCACCAGCAGCAGCAGGAGCAGCACCAGCAGCAGCAGGAGCAGCACCAGCAGCAGCAGGAGCAGCACCACUUCCACCGCCUCCUCCUCCACUUCCUGCGCCUCCUCCUCCACUUCCUGCUCCUACUUCUCUUGAAGCAGGAGAUGCUUCAGGCUUACAUCUACCACCACCAUUACCACCACCACCACCACCACCACCUUAUUCUUGUGAUCCAAGUGGAAGUGAUCUCUUAUUUAGGUUUGAGAUGGUUCUUGAAUCUAGAACAUUUUCUUGAUGAUUAGUGGGUACAGAACUAAAUAGGAGUGAUUUGAACAUAAAAUUCUAGGUGACUAAUAAGGAGCAGCUGCAAGUACUUUCUACAUAGCUAACUAGUAGAUAGUUGGGUCAAAUCAUGACACUUCUGCUCCCCUCUCAUAGCUCUAUGUCUUUCUUAAACGAGAUUCACAAAUGCAUAGCUUUGUUUUUUACUCAAGUAUUUUAUUUUAACUCUGGAGUUAAUAUUAAUAGCUUUCUUCUAUUUACGUUCUUUCCCCAAGUUUAUGAAAUUGUUAACUUUUUGAUACUUGGUAUACCAACUGAGGACCUCGAGAAAUCAUCUAUUCAUCUGAUCUGCUUUGACUAUCAACCAUGCAUUUCUGCUUCCUUAAAAAGCCAGGAGUGAAAAAAAAGCCAGGAGUGAUAUUUUUUCCAUUGGAAGUUCUUUGUUGCCUCUGAGUUUGGUAGUAUUACUCAAAGAGAAUUGUAGUUGAAAGUUGUUAGCAGUUUGCUUAUACUUUCUUGCUUACAUUUUCUUGAUUUUUUUUCUAGCUGCUGCUUUUUUCUGAGUUCUCUCCAGCCACUAAACUAGUAAACAAGAUUUUCUUCAACUCUGUUCUGUUCUUUUUCCAUACAGUAUGUCUUUGCAGUCUAUUCUAAAUCUACUAGCCUUUGCUCAGAAAGUUUGGUUACUUACUAGACAUUUUCAUUUAAGCUUUACAACUUUCAAACAUAAAUGGUCUCUAAUGAAAUUCCUCAUCUUUUCCCUCUUGUCUUUCACCAGUCAACACAAAACAUUUAUUCCUCUUCUUGGUUUCAUAUUUU